rnacentral:rRNA from 1 species
AGCAGCCGCGGUAAUUCCAGCUCCAAUAGCGUAUAUUAAAGUUGUUGCAGUUAAAAAGCUCGUAGUUGAAUUUCGGGAUCAAUACGUCGGUCGUGCCUCCGGUAUGUACUGGUGUUAUUGAUUUCUCCCUUCUGACGAACCAUGAUGUCAUUAAUUUGGUGUUGUGUGGAGUCAGGACUGUUACUUUGAAAAAUUAGAGUGUUUAAAGCAAGCUCACGCUUGAAUACAUUAGCAUGGAAUAAUGAAAUAGGACGUUCGAACCUAUUUUGUUGGUUUCUAGGAUCAACGUAAUGAUUAAUAGGGAUAGUUGGGGGCAUUAGUAUUCAAUUGUCAGAGGUGAAAUUCUUGGAUUUAUUGAAGACUAACUACUGCGAAAGCAUUUGCCAAGGAUGUUUUCAUUAAUCAAGAACGAAAGUUAGGGGAUCGAAGACGAUCAGAUACCGUCGUAGUCUUAACCAUAAACUAUGCCGACUAGGGAUCGGAUGAUGUUAAUUUUUAAUGUA